AAUAAAGAUGGUGUACAUGUAUAUCCCUCUAUUUAUAUGUAAGCAGGCAGAUGAGACAGGAAGAAAAAAAAAAAAAAACUAAAGUAAAGAAAAUGGAGAAGCUAUUCCAGAAGGCUGUUUGGGCCUGCGUUCUUGCCUUUCUAGUGUUGCUUGGAUCAUGGUUUCUUAUGAUAGAUUUAAGGAGCACAGACUUCCAUACUCCUCUUCAAGGGAUUGCAAUACAUAGAAGGGGAAUGGAGUUCUCAGUCAAUCGAGUAUCU